CCUACGGGAGGCAGCAGUGAGGAAUAUUGGACAAUGGGCGCAAGCCUGAUCCAGCCAUGCCGCGUGCAGGAUGACGGUCCUAUGGAUUGUAAACUGCUUUUGUACAGGAAGAAACAGUUCUACGUGUAGAACCUUGACGGUACUGUAAGAAUAAGGAUCGGCUAACUCCGUGCCAGCAGCCGCGGUAAUACGGAGGAUCCAAGCGUUAUCCGGAAUCAUUGGGUUUAAAGGGUCCGUAGGCGGUUUAGUAAGUCAGUGGUGAAAGCCCAUCGCUCAACGGUGGAACGGCCAUUGAUACUGCUAAACUUGAAUUAUUAGGAAGUAACUAGAAUAUGUAGUGUAGCGGUGAAAUGCUUAGAGAUUACAUGGAAUACCAAUUGCGAAGGCAGGUUACUACUAAUAUAUUGACGCUGAUGGACGAAAGCGUGGGUAGCGAACAGGAUUAGAUACCCUGGUAGUCCACGCCGUAAACGAUGGAUACUAGCUGGUUGGGAGCGAUACUACUAGUGGUCGUAGUACGAAGUAGAGUAAGUACGUACCGACCGUCGGGUAGGUAACGGUUCGUACGUUAAGAAGUAGUUAAACGUUAAAGUUAAGUUAAGUUAGUUACGGCGUUGAGACGUUGCCGACGGACGACGACGAGGGAGGAGG
rnacentral:rRNA from 1 species